rnacentral:lncRNA from 1 species
CCCCCUGGACCACUCAUGGCAUGGGCGUGACCCCGUACUCAUCUGGGGCCGAGGGUCAGUGUGUGUUUACUCCAAGGAAAUGAAGUCAGCCAGGUGGCUUCCAGAACGCUUAGUAAAACAAGUUGAUAAGCGUGUUGAUGAUGCCGAUGACCUAACAUUGUCCAAUUUCAACCAGUUAACAAUGGUGCCUACAAUUAUAAUCUAAUAAUCAUAAAGAGAAUAGUAUAAUUCAAUUUGGCCAGUUAUAUUUGAGUGCACCCUAAUUUUAUACACUGUCUCAUAUGUUUGUCUAUUGUCUGUUGUUUGUGUUCGUACAGUUGAGCUCAAUAUGUUCCUUCCUUUUCAAAGGAUAUUCGCCUAUUGUUAAAUUGACUUAUAGAUAAAUAUUAUUAAAUUAAAGACAUGCUUUCCUUCCCAGGUUGUUAAUUGAUCAAAGUACCACUGAAAUUUAUUUUAUGAAAGUGACGUGUAUUGUCACCCACAUGCAACAAUCAAAUUGCAAUUAACAGUUAUAAAAUAAAAAGAUAUAUAUUCUUAAUUGUUUGUCAAAACGAUUAUAGAUGGGAACUCCCUUUGAUGAAUAUAGAAGUGGCCACCCAGAAAAUGAUUAUUCUGGUCUUAAUUCAUUAAAGGGACCCCCUAGUAAAUUUUAUAUUAUAUAAUCUUAUGGGAGACAUAUCACAAUGAAUAUUAUCUAAAUAUGUUAUAAAUUGAUUGUAUUGGUUGUCCUUGAUAUUUAAGCACUGAAUAUGUUGUUACAAAAUGUUUAUAUUGGUUAAGUUCUGAAUAUGUUAUUGUAGUAUGUCCACAUUGGUUAUCUUCAAAAGCUUAAUCAGGUUAGCCUAACUCUCUUAUCUACAGCCCAGCCUUGUUUACAUCGCAGGAUGAAAUUUUGCUUACAGGUUAAAAAGAUGACAUCCCUGAAUCUGUUGCAUGGUCUGUUGCUGUUCCUGACACCGACAACAAAAAGUGGAUUUCAACCAGUUAACAAACAACAAUUGCUCAUUGCCCUGUAUGGUAACCCCUGUGACUGUGCUGGGGGUUCUGGCAGGGCUGCACCCACAAGUUACAC